UGAGAUCACCUCUCACUCUGCAGGAUGC
rnacentral:piRNA from 1 species